GACGAACGCUGGCGGCGUGCUUAACACAUGCAAGUCGAACGGAAAGGCCCUGCUUUUGUGGGGUGCUCGAGUGGCGAACGGGUGAGUAACACGUGAGUAACCUGCCCUUGACUUUGGGAUAACUUCAGGAAACUGGGGCUAAUACCGGAUAGGAGCUCCUGCUGCAUGGUGGGGGUUGGAAAGUUUCGGCGGUUGGGGAUGGACUCGCGGCUUAUCAGCUUGUUGGUGGGGUAGUGGCUUACCAAGGCUUUGACGGGUAGCCGGCCUGAGAGGGUGACCGGCCACAUUGGGACUGAGAUACGGCCCAGACUCCUACGGGAGGCAGCAGUGGGGAAUAUUGCACAAUGGGCGGAAGCCUGAUGCAGCAACGCCGUGUGCGGGAUGACGGCCUUCGGGCUGUAAACCGCUUUCGCCUGUGACGAAGCGUGAGUGACGGUAAUGGGUAAAGAAGCACCGGCUAACUACGUG
rnacentral:rRNA from 1 species